UUUAACAUAUGUUCAUUAAAAUACGCACAGUGAAUAAUUGAAUUGACAAAUAUAAAUCUAUAAAUAGAAAAUUGAAAAAAAUGUUGCGAUGUAAAAUAGCAAAAGUCAAGAAAAUAUAAGCUUACUUGGCAUUGAAAAAGUCCGAGGAGGCAAGUUGCGAAUGAAGAGAAGAUGAUGCCAUAAGCUGGAGCAGUUGAAUGCAGAAAAAUUUGGCAGUGACGUCGCCAGAAACGGGACACAUAUGUUAUUCGUAAACAAUUCAAGGAAAAAAGUAUUUCGAAACUAAAAUUUUCUAAACAAUAAAGUAUAGAAUAUAGUAAAAGUAAAAAGAAUUUGUGAUAUAUUUCCAUACCAAAUAAUACCACAUUGAAAAUAGAUUUCUAAAAUAUGUGUUUGUGAAUUUUCGUUUGGUCGACAUAAAUACAAAACGAAAGAAAAAAUAUGUUAUUGACGAUAUCGAAAACGAUCACCUGAAUCUCGACCAUCAUGAAGUAUGUCUAUCCCGGGACAAAAACAUGUACCGCUGCAAGAUUUUAUGGGUGUUGCGCUUGUUGUUACAAAUUCACAUCUCACCCUCGGCUACUGAAUCCAAUUGCAGAUAUUCUCAUCCCUUACGCGGAUCUUCCAAUUUGGACUACAGAAAAGGGUAGUAAUCCCAACUAGCGCCAGCUGCCUUUAUCGAGUUCCAACCGUUUCCACGGUAUGCAAGUUGUAUGGUCAUGUUGGCCGCAGAUAAUCACACAACUCUAAAAAUAAUUUCACACAAAAAAAUCGUUAAAACGUAGAAUUGUUACAAUAACUUUAUCUCAGUUGUAUAAACUACCUGGGGAACACUUCGUGGUUAAAGGUUUGCAAUUUCUGUUGUCACCGCUGAUUAAACUGGCAACUUUAGUUGAAGGAAAAAACGAUCUCGAGGAGCUGUUCACAACGUAUACCUGAAAGCAUUUGUCCAAUUUGAUUUCAUCUUUCUUCUUAUUAUGGCUACAUGUAUUUUGAAUUGCAUCGACGAGAGGUGUCUGAAUUUGUAAUUCCUUAACGAUCUUACUCUUGUUGUACCCUCACAUUUGUGUUCAACCGCUAAAAAUAAAAAGGGUAUUCUGCAGUAGGCGUUAAAAGAGUUUAAUGCACUUUUACAAUUAGAUAUGGACGCCUAUUUAACACUGGUCCAAGACCGUUUAGGUUUUAAUAACAUUCAAGUAAUGUUUAGAGUUUUUAGCCGUCGUAUUUGGCAAUAUGUAACAUAUAUUAUGGCAUUAUUAAUCAACGGAAUACAGAGGAUAUAACUCUAAAUUGUGACUGUCAACGGUCUUUAUAAAAGCUAUCUACAAACCUACAGUUAUCUACGAACAUAUACGGAUUUUAAUAUGGCGCACUAAAAAAAAAAAUUAAAGGGUAAUCCCUAUUUGCUUAGUGUUCCUGCUGAUAUAAAAUCAGAGUACAAAGCUAUUCUGCAUAUGGAAGAAAACUUGACAAUUGGUCUGCAGAUAUUGACAGUUUUGCCAACGUGACGGGUUCUUUUGGAACUCAAGUCCGCCUAACUUAUUAGCGGCUUUCUUGAACGAAUGUAUAGGAAACGCAAUGUUGCAUAUGUGUUGGUUAUAUGGUCUAUAUUAAACUCGCAACUCGUUAACGCUCGUAACAAUUUAACACAUGGGUUCAACUGCACACCGCGCAAUUGGAAUUUGGACCUGCCCGCCCUACGCCGUUUGUUUUCAGGCUUAUUCUUCGUUAGAAUUUUCCCAAAUGUCGUCGAUAUUGUAAGAAUUGGUUUGAAGGAUAGAUGCGAGUUUAAACGUACCAACUGACCGCAGAUUAUAUCAUUUCUAACACUGCUACACUUCCCUUUGAGGUGGUUGUCUUAGCUCCUUUCCUCUUGCUGACGGGCUAGGAUUCUUCGGCACUUUCAAGGAGUGGAAUUCAAUGUGGAGAUUUUCUGACGUUCUGGCUUACGGAUAUCCGCUGUUCUCGAGUUUCUAGCUUGUGAUAAUGGUGAUGUUGGCAUCUCAGCCAGAUAAUCAUCCGCUCCGAACACGACGCAGAUUCGAGAGCGAGACGUGCUGAACCAAACUUCGCCUCUUCUGCGGUGAAUGAACUCGUUGAGUUUUCGAUGGCAUCGCAUGGCCUCUCACUAUUCCAUCACUACUGCCAUCUUGUUGCGCAACCUGCAAGAAGGUUGAUUUCGCAGCGUGAUAAAUGUGUUGGUAAUCUCGAGGGAGUAAUUAGCGUAUGUUUGCAAUAACCUCCGCUGUAGGCACGAUUUCUAGCGUGGCAGACAAUAGUCGGGUCGCUAUGCUUCUUUGUGUGAAUGGGCAGUAAUAGGUCAGCUAUUACAAAAACAUCUGUUCGACGUGUCGGCUAUAAGAAGUCACAGUGUUGUUGGUACGCUUAGAUGUAAAUGAAGGAGCUCAGCGUGUGUAGCUCCGAUAUUUCCUCAAACGAUCACGAAGUUCUGGUCCAUAGAAAUCCACUAAUGUGCCCUUGAGCCUAUAUGGUUAAUUUCUGCCGUUCAUUUAGGAUGGGAUUUUUUAUUUUUAUUUCUAAAAAUCUUUUUACAAUUAUCAAUAAUUUUUUUUCCUUAUUUAUUUUUCUUUAUUUUACAAAUGUUAGAUCGAUAAAAAAUUUUCUUCAAAGACUCUUCUAUCGUAAUAAAUUACGAUAAUCUUAUUAAUACUAUAUCCAAAUACGAUGAAUCUCAUCUUUAAUAAGAUUCUAAUGAUUUGUGCCUGUUACCUGUGUUAUAUUUAUUUUUAAGCUUAUGCUUUAAAUAAACUUUUUUAUGUGUCCUGCUUUGUGACAAUAUUCAUGUUUAAAAAAGUUCUUAUUAAUUUUACAACCCUUUGCUAAAGGAUUGCUGCCAACGCAACGGAGACAUAAAUUGUCAACACGUAAACCUCGACAAUUCUUUGAAGGAUUUUGUUAACGUUUGUGGUUCGUGAAGUAUUACACAUCCAUUGUUGUGAGUUCCCUGAAUACCUGAAAAGAAACGGUUCUGUUUUAGGAGCAAAUAAAUAUGGACCAAAAGCGUGCCUCCAGUAAAGCUGUAACCUGUUUUGCUGAAUGCCUUUGGUGCGUGUAAUGACAUAUUGACUGCUUCAAUAUAUUAUAGUAAAACAUAUGCGCACAGACAGAUCUUUAUUUCCUAAUACAUUUUUACCAGUGAAUGUAAUUCCAAGCUUCCUAUUUAAGUUGUAUACAACAUAGUUGAUUUAGUUGAUUUGUAUUAAUUUUAGUGUUUUGAGUGAUUGUAAUAUACUGUCAACAUUUAAAAAAGAAACGGUUGAGGAAAACUGAUUGAAGGUCAAUCUUGAUUUUUCUAUAAAAUUAAGGCAGUCGAGGAUGAGUCCUCUUGAUGAUUCUAAACUAUUAAACUAAAUGAACAUUUGUUUUUUUCGAUAACGUAAAUAAUUAACUUAAACUGCUUGAUCAAAUGUUGGUAUGUAGCCUCAUCGUACACACGUAACAUACCAUGUUGGAAAAUGUUGCUUUCAAAAAGUCAUUCGAUAUACCUGUUUAUCACUUUUAAUUAUCCCCAUAGAAAUCUUAAAUGAUAUAUGUCACCAUUUUUUUCACUAAGCAAGAUGAAAUUUUGAUUUACAAGCACUCGUAGGAUACAGUAUAUGGUUUUUUGUUCUAUUUUCGUUUUUCUGCCUUACUUUCAAUUUAGAAGCACAAAAGCGUUGGUUUCAGUCUUUACAAAAGACUAGUAUGUACUGCUAUUUUUCCCGUACCCGUUCUCAAAAAAAGGACACAAAUUUAAUUGGUGUUUUAAUGACCGUCAUUAAAAAUUGUUUUCUUGAUUAUUUGCUACUCUUCAAAUUUUAAUUCCAUAUUCAGUUUGCUGCUUCGAGACCUUUUCAAAGUGCACUGAACAGAUAUGAAAUUACUUACGAUAAAGGUUCGCCAUAUCUUCAUCGCAAAUUUAGUAUGCGUGCCGCUCAUCUCACCACAGUUUAUACUGAUGGGCCUGCCAUCGAACAUCAUCAUUUGAGCUUAUAAUGAUCCUUAUAUAUACGAGAUGUUGCCCCACAUGACCGAUUUUAUAUGACCAUCUUGACCAUCUAUAGAAAAAAAAUUAAUUUUUCUACGUUCGAUAAUAUUGCUCACACAUGAUGCAAGAUGGCUUUACCUUCUGUCGUACUUGUGAAAGUUGAGAACCGUAAAAUCCAGUUCGCAAUAUACAUAUUUUCAAUAUUUUCGUCGUCACCAUCUAAAACCACGAUAUCAAAUUUUUCUGAACAUGUUUAUUUUAUAUUUAAAAUUUACAUGUGUAGAUAAAAAUCAUUCAUUAUUAAUUCUCUAUAUAUGCUUUAUCGACGAACACUGAAGAGAAACUUUUAUAGUACUCUCUUAGGUAUUCGACGAAUUCUUCUCCGAAGCCUUGUAGCGCGGUUACAUUGUGUGCUGCCAUAUGGUAGCAUUGGUACCUUUCCUUGAUGUGGCGGAUUAUAGCCAGCAUUCUUAACGUUGGGCAAACAGACACAAGUUCUGCUGACAAAACUGGUCCCCCUAAUCUAGGAAAAAAUUCAGACAUUUAGGUGCGCAUACCAUCAGUCCCAUUAAUCAAGACUUUGUUACCUACAUGAAUUAAUAUCGAAGCACCGUUUGCCUGUGUAUAUCCGGUAGACUUGCUCCCAAGGAUCAUCACGACUGCAUAAGAUAAAGAAUCUCUAUUCUUUUUCUUUAACUCGCACAAUCAGACGUUUGCAUUCACACAACUUAUUAUGGUAGGCAGCUCUAAUGAGGAAUUCAUUCGCACUGCGCAGCCUCCUGGUUCUUUGGAACUUCGUCCUGAGAUGCCGGACUGCGCUACGCAUCUGUUUCAAACUAGAAGUCCACCACUUAACUCCUCUACGCGCAAAACUCUGGCUACGCGGAGGGAGAAACUCAUUGACUUCCCACAAGCAUUCAUUAAUGGAAAUGGUUUGCUCAUUAACCGGCUCCCGACGGAAAAAAUCUCAUGACUUUCCAGAUAUUUUUCCCUUGACUGGAGUCCCGCCGGUAUUCCAUUCCACACCAGACGUACACCAUUUUUUAAUGUCAGACGCCACUUCAUUAAUUUGGACAGUGGUCACCUCAAUUUUAAUUAAUUGGUGAUCACUCAUACCACAACCACUUAUUAUAUUCCAACUGAUUUCAAACAACCUCCAAGCUGCGUCAUUUACGAGCGUCAAAUCUAUGUCAAUAACACCAGCUGGACCAUUAUAUGAAUUCUACACGGAGAUGCACCAUUCAGCUAACAGCUCACCCCUUGUCUGGUUUAUUAAACCAGACGGAUGAGAAAGCAUUGGCAUGGAGACCUAAGAUAACUGCCGAGCCGCCCUCAAGCAACAGAACAGUAUCCAUGUAUCUCAUAUAAGGAUGCAACUCUUCCCUAAAUCUGCAGUAAAGGCUUGCAAGGAAAAGUUUCUUUGCAAUCCAUCUACACAGGCAUAUACACCGCAAUCAGAAGAACUGACCAGCAUGAAAUGGACACUGGCAUCAUUGACAAUAGCAGUAGACAAGCAUCUAUCAUCCGGAAAUAUUUUCAUAUAUCCGGACAAGCCCAGAAUACGGUUUUUACCGUACUAAACUGCUGCUAAAAUCACUGAUGCACUGGCCCAAAUUGCACAUAACGGGAUAGCUCUUCUUAAAUGCCAGUCAUGCCACAAUGUCAACACACAACCCCACUUACCCUACAGUCCUUCACCAUGUGGUCAAAACUUAAAUAUUUAAAACAAACCGGCACCUCAUCGAAGAAAGGCACCAGAAAUGAGUACCAGUGUACACAAACUCUUCCCACACAGAUCAGCACGUCGCUGAAUCUCUCCGUAGAUUCCAGCAUAGCAUUAAUCUGUCUAUCUCCAGCAAUCCAAAGACGAGAGGCCAAACGGAUGGACCUCUUGAAGUCUUCUUCACUUAUUCCUUUAUCUUUGAAGUUGAGUUUAUGCAGCUCUUCCAAAAAAUCACUACGGCUGAUUUGCUUGUCUACUCUUUAAACAAUUAAUUUCGGGCCAAUUUUUUGAGGCACUGACACUGACAGAUUUACCUCUGCAAACUUCGUAUUCCAUAAAAUCCUCCGUCUGCCCUCAACAGAAGUGAUACGGAUAACUGCUCCUCCGUUCCGCAUAGCUUUAAUAUCGUGUAAUCUGACUCCAAGGGAGUGCCCAAAGUGCGCUACCUUUCCUACCACUUUUUGGUAGGAGGUGGAGCCGUUAUCCGUACUCCAUCUACUGCGGAGAGGACAAAGAUCAUGGCGAACACGAAAUUCGGGGAAAUCGGGCUCAAUGUCUCGGUUGAAGAGAAGCUGGGCCCGAAGGUGGUAUGUCAGUCCGUGCAUGAAGUGCUCGAUCCGUCUGUUUUUAUGAGGGCUUGUAUGAGAUGAACCUUAAACGUACUCUCCCGAGGAAUUUAGAAAGAGUGUCCGGAUGGUCUCAAAACCAUGGGUAAAAAGUGGUGGUACGGCCAACCUCGUCCUGGAGGGAUGCGUUCAGGCUAUGGAUGCACUCCUGAGCGUCGGUAGGGUAUACAUUGACUACCAUUGUUUUGUGGUGCGUCAAUAUGAUGAAGUGCCCGUGUGCUUUCGACCACAGGGUGAAAGAGUGCAGAGUCCAGGGUGUUGUCUGUAGACACUGUGGCCAAACAGGCCACCGGCUCAGUGUGUGUACGAACGCUGCACACUGCCGAAACUGCGAGUUCCGCGGACUUUCUGCUGGACAUCUCAUGAUGUCCUAGGCCUGUCCGGAGUAUAACAGGAUGAUCGCGUAGGUAGCGUCUAAGCACUAAUAUGGCUUUGCUCAUACUGCAAUAUAAUUUCAACCGCGGUUAUCACGCGGUGUGGAGCUUGGCCAGUGGAUGAGUGAAUUGGGCUGCACAGCGGCUCUGGUGCAAGAACCCUGCACUUUCGGUGGCAGGAUAAAAGGCCUGCUAACGGGAAUGCGGGUUUUUCUUGACUCCAGUAGCCACUUUGCUGUCGUAAUGAAUGGUGUGAAUGUGGAUGCGACCCUUUUUAAAACCUGUAACUAUGGUGUCUGUGUGUCCGUGGAAGGCCCGAAUGAGAGCCUGCUUGUAGCCAGUCUCUACUGCAAAUUUAAUCAAGAACUGGACGAUUACAUUAGGUUUAUGGAUUCGGUGUUACUGCUUGCAGGUAGCACUCCAUUAAUCCUAAGACUCUAUGCAAAUGCCUGUUGCCGUGGGUCUGGUCUUCGUAAUCAAAUAAGGGGGGUGGUUUUGUCUCAAUGGUCUAUAUUUUAAAUGAGCCUAGCCAGUGGUUCACGUUUGACAGUCCAGUUGGGAUACCUACGGGGUCCAUAUUGGGGAAGCGGUGACAGCCGUAUCGCUUGAGGAUUUUGCUUGUAGAUCGAAUGAGCAGGUGGAGUAUAUUUCUCGGUCCGUUUGUGGCGUCAACGACUUGCUCCUUGAGAAAUGUCGCAAGACAAAUCGACGAGGGGUCAAGUGGUGGACGGCUGCACUGUCCGCUAAACGUGGAGUCGUGCGCCGCCUUAAGCGGAAUUUUCAGAGAUCGAGGCGGCCCGAUAGUGCGGAUGCUGUCCAACUUAGAAUCGACUUAAGACAAUGCCUUUAUGAAUACAAGCGCAUGCUUCUAAAAGCGAAGGAAGAUGACUUGGUUUUUUAACACAACAAUCAAUAACUCCCCUGUCUAACUAUUAUUACUAUUAUUAUUAUUAUAAUUUUAGACUGAUGAAAUAAAUUCUUAGAUUAAAAAAACACAUUGCGCACUAGCAACACAGGCUAUCAGCUCUAAAUUAUAAAAGUAUAUUAGUAGUUUUGAUAAAGUAAUUGAUUGUAUUGGUAUUCUUUUCUGUAGCUGAUUGUAGAAUGGGUUAAUCGUUCCAGAUCCAUUACUUCUAGCCAAGGUAAAAGUAAGGCAGUCACAGUGAAUGCGCUUUAUAAGAGAGUGGUGCUGAUGAUGGUAUUGUAUAUUUCCUUAUGUAAUUUUUUCUUUAACUUUUCCAUAAUUAGAGAUGCAAAAGCAUCAUACUUCUCCGCUCGAUCAGCCUGCUCAUAUCCCAAUAUACCGAUACGACUAGGUAUCCAUAACAUUUUAAUUUUUUCGCCGGCUGUUGUAAUGAUAAUCCUUAAUUUGUUAAUGGUACUCCAUCUCGAUAUCGAAGAAUUCCGUAUAGCUUUUAAUACAGAGAAAAAACGACGGUCUUGAGUUUGUUUUUAUUGGAAAGGUUCGCAUCGCGAAGGAUAGCUCGUUUAUGAAAGUUGAAGUACUUCCGUGAAAUAUGUGGUUGAGAAGAACUCGUCCUGUAGCAUCAACCACG